UGGGGAAUAUUGCACAAUGGGGGAAACCCUGAUGCAGCGACGCCGCGUGAACGAAGAAGGUAUUCGUAUCGUAAAGUUCUGUCCUAUGGGAAGAUAAUGACAGUACCAUAGAAGAAAGCUCCGGCUAAAUACGUGCCAGCAGCCGCGGUAAUACGUAUGGAGCGAGCGUUGGCCGGAAUUAUUGGGCGUAAAGGGUACGCAGGCGGUUUAAUAAGUCGAAUGUUAAAGAUCGGGGCUCAACCCCGUAAAGCAUUGGAAACUGAUAAACUUGAGUAGUGGAGAGGAAAGUGGAAUUCCUAGUGUAGUGGUGAAAUACGUAGAUAUUAGGAGGAAUACCAGUAGCGAAGGCGACUUUCUGGACACAAACUGACGCUGAGGUACGAAAGCGUGGGGAGCAAACAGG
rnacentral:rRNA from 1 species